GACAGAGGGUGCAAACGUUGUUCGGAAUUACUGGGCGUAAAGCGCGUGUAGGCUGCUCAGAAAGUCGGAUGUGAAAGCCCUGGGCUUAACCUAGGAAGUGCAUUCGAAACUUCUGAGCUUGAGUUCUGGAGAGGAAGGCGGAAUUCUCGGUGUAGAGGUGAAAUCCGUAGAUAUCGAGAGGAACACCGGUGGCGAAGGCGGCCUUCUGGACAGUGACUGACGCUGAGACGCGAAAGCGUGGGGAGCAAACAGG
rnacentral:rRNA from 1 species